GGCGGACGGGUGAGUAUGUCUGGGAAACUGCCUGAUGGAGGGGGAUAACUACUGGAAACGGUAGCUAAUACCGCAUAAUGUCGCAAGACCAAAGUGGGGGACCUUCGGGCCUCAUGCCAUCAGAUGUGCCCAGAUGGGAUUAGCUGGUAGGUGGGGUAACGGCUCACCUAGGCGACGAUCCCUAGCUGGUCUGAGAGGAUGACCAGCCACACUGGAACUGAGACACGGUCCAGACUCCUACGGGAGGCAGCAGUGGGGAAUAUUGCACAAUGGGCGCAAGCCUGAUGCAGCCAUGCCGCGUGUGUGAAGAAGGCCUUCGGGUUGUAAAGCACUUUCAGCGGGGAGGAAGGCGGUGAGGUUAAUAACCUCACCGAUUGACGUUACCCGCAAAACAAGCACCGGCUAACUCCGUGCCAGCAGCCGCGGUAAUACGGAGGGUGCAAGCGUUAAUCGUAAUUACUGAGCGUAAAGCGCACGCAGGCGGUCUGUCAAGUCUGAUGUGAAAUCCCCGGGCUCAACCUGGUAACUGCAUUCUAAACUGGCAGGCUAGAGUCUUGUAGAGGGGGGUAGAAUUCCA
rnacentral:rRNA from 1 species